rnacentral:rRNA from 1 species
CCUACGGGUGGCAGCAGUGAGGAAUAUUUGUCAAUGGACGAGAGUCUGAACCAGCCAAGUAGCGUGCAGGAUGACUGCCCUAUGGGUUGUAAACUUCUUUUAUAAAGGAAUAAAACGAGGCACGUGUGCCUUUUUGCAUGUACUUUAUGAAUCCAGCUCGGCUAACUCCGUGCCAGCAGCCGCGGUAAUACGGAGGAUCCGAGCGUUAUCCGGAUUUAGUGGGUUUAAAGGGGUCGUAGAUGGGUUGUUAAGUCAGUUGUGAACGUUGGCGGCUCAACAGUAAAAUUGCAAUUGAUACUGGCAGUCUUGAGUACAGUUGAGGUAGGCGGAAUUCGUGGUGUAGCGGUGAAAUGCGUAGAUAUCACGAAGAACCCCGAUUGCGAAGGCAGCUUACUAAACUGUGACUGACAUUGAUGCUCGAAAGUGUGGGUAUCAAACAGGAUUAGAUACCCGGGUAGUC